rnacentral:rRNA from 1 species
UACAGAGGUCCCAAGCGUUGUUCGGAUUCACUGGGCGUAAAGGGUGCGUAGGUGGCUUGGUAAGUUUGAUGUGAAAUCUCCGGGCUUAACCCGGAAAUGGCAUUGAAUACUAUUGAGCUGGAGGUUUGGAGGGGGGACUGGAAUUCUCGGUGUAGCAGUGAAAUGCGUAGAUAUCGAGAGGAACACCAGUGGCGAAGGCGAGUCCCUGGACAACACCUGACACUGAGGCACGAAAGCUAAGGGAGCAAACAGG